rnacentral:lncRNA from 1 species
CAUCCCCCUUCUCUGUAUCCCUGUUCAUAGAUGGAAUCAGCUACUCCUAUAUCUCAUCCAAGUUGAUACAAUUAUUAGUUCACUCUAUUUCAAAAUCAAGUCUCAAGUAUCUGUUGAUUUUUUUCCAUAAAGGGAUUACACAAAUAACGUGGUUAAUACUUGCUUUUCUGGCAUUUUUGGGUGUGCAAUUAUUAAUAUAUAAUCAGGCAAUGCAAACAAGAGAUUUUCGAAUAUUACAAAUGCAUUACAUAUCAAACAUCCAACAUUUCUGCUU